rnacentral:lncRNA from 9 species
GCAGAAACGAAUCUGACUAGUAUCCAUGAGGGAGCAGGUUCGAUCCCUGGCCUUGCUCAGUGGGCUGGGGAUCGGGCACUACCAUGAGCUGUGGUGUAGGUUGCAGACGUGGUUCAGAUUCCAAGUUGCUGUGGCUGUGGCACAGGCCAGCAGCUCUAGAGCAACGAGGGAUCCGAGCUGCAUCUUCGACCUACACAACAGCUCACAGCAAUGCCAGGGAUUGAACCCACAACCUCAUGGUUCCUAGUUGGAUUCGUUUCUGCUGCGUCAUGAUGGGAACUCCUUACAUGUUUUUUUAAAAAUAAAUGAAACCUCAAAAGUACCAGAAAAAAACCAUGAGAAAAUUCUUCUAUUGACUUUUCUAUAAACUUUUAUGAGUUUCCAAUGAGGAAGCAACUGCUAUUUAAUUCUCAAGAGCCAUUAAAGAAAAGUUUGAUAUAUUUGACCUCAUAAAAACAAAGUAUCUAUAAGACAAGUCAAAAGACAGAUGACAAAGUGGGUACAAAUAUUUUUACUGUUCUCACAGCUGAUACAAAAACAUACCUACAAAAAGUGUAUACAAACAAGUAGGAAAAUGACCAACCAUCCAAUAGAAAAAUAAAGGACAUGAACAGACAAGUCAAAGGGGAAAAAAAAAAGAAUUGUUAAAUAAAAAGAUGUUCAAACCAACCACUAGAGGAAUAAAGUAAUGAAAUGUGAAAUGAAACCAGCCUAAUAAUAUGCAUACACAUUAGUAUUUCUAGUUUUGGGGAUUACAUGUAAAUAUCAAUUAAUUCUUUAUACCUUUAUGUACUGUCUGAAGUUUGUGUAAUAAACAUUUACUACUUUAUUCUUAUGUUAUUCUUAUGAAAAACUGUCUAUACAGCGUAAUUUUCAUUUAUAUAUGUAUGGGUAUGUGUAUGCCAAAAUAACAACGGUUAUCCUGGGUAAAAAUAAUCUGGAUAAUUCUGUUCUUCUUUGUAACAUUUGGAAAAUAUGGAAAAUCACAAUCAGAAAAAUUUUUUUUUCUUUUUUAGGGCCAUACCUGUGGCAUGCGUAAGUUCCCAGGCUAGGGGUCAAAUCAGAGGUGCAGCUGCUGGCCUACGCCACAGCCAUAGUCACGCCAGGUCCAAGCUGCAUAUGCGACUAAGCUGCAGCUCGUGGCAAAGCCGGCUCCCUAACCCACUGAGGCCAAGGAUCAAACCUGCAUCCUCAUGGAUACUAGUCGGGUUCUUAACCCACUAAGCCACAAUGGGAACUUGCUGGCAAACUUUUUCUUAAAGACCCAGAUAAUAAAUAUUUUAGGGUUUGGGCCAUGUAGUCUCUCUCACAACUACUCAACUCUGCCCCAAGCCCCUGGAGGAAAAUGAAUGAGCAUGGUUAUGCUACAAAAAUAAGACUCAAGCUAAAUUUGGCCUGUGGAACAUAGUUUGUUAACCUUUGCCCUAGAGCAACAAAUAUGUAACAGGUGCCAAAUCCCUGUAAAAAUUGUAUAGCAGCUUUGAAAGUCCUUUUUUUUUUUUUUUUUUUUUAACCCCCUAUGGCUGUACCUGCAGCAUAUAAAGGUUCCUGGGUCAGGGAACAAAAUCCCAGCCACAGCUGUGACCUAUGCCACAGCUGAGGCAUCGCAGGAUCCUUAACCUGCUGCACCACAGCAGAAACGCCAAGAGGCCCAUUUUAAGCUUUGUUUGCUUGCCUUCCCUAGAAGCAGCCCUUAUCAUCUCCUUCUUUAUUACUCCAGCAAAUAUAUUCUCACCAUUCUUUUUUUUUUCCCUUUCUUUUUAUGAUAAAAUAUACAUAACAUAAAAUUUACCAUCUUAACCAUUUUUAAAUGAAUGUAGCAGUAAGUGAACUGGCAUCGAGUACAUUCACACUGCUGUACAACCAUCUUUUUCUAAAACAUGUUAACUUCCAUAUGCCACAGGUGUGGCCCUAAAAAGCAAAAAAUAAGAUAGCUCAAAAAAAAGAGGAGUAAGUUUAUCAAAACCUGCGCUAAAAGAGUUUAAAGAAUUUAAAUAUUAAAUAGGUUUCCUGGUGUUCAUUUUUUAUGUGGUACCCAGAUUUCUGAAACAUUCAUGAUUAUUAAGAUUUUUUUUUCAUUGUGAAGAGUAUUUAUUUUAGUUGCUGUAACUAUUAAGAUUUUAACCUUCCAGUGAUUUAAAUUAGCACUGGUAAAUAAAGUCAAGUAAUAAUAUACAUGAGCAAUAUUGACACCAAAUAAUAAAAAUGACCAAAGAAAACUAUUUCUCAAAAGUAAUGUAUUCAUCUUCCAGAGAACAAACUGUAAAUGUACUCUAGGGUUGUGCAAAUUAUCAACGUAAGUUAAAAAAUUUUAAAAAGAAAUUAUUUAAGCUUUCCUAGAUGACAUAUGCAUUUAAAACUAGACAAAUACAGUUUAAAAAUUUAAACUGUAUUUGCUCCAGUUAGCUCCCUCUAAAUUUAUGCGUUUUGCUAAAGUUACGGAGUGAAACUACUAUAUAUAAAAAUAGAUAAUCAACAAGGACCUACUAUAGAGCACAGGGAACUCUACAUAAUAUUCUAUAAUAACCUAUAUGGGAAAAAUGAAACUGAAAAAGAAUGGACAUAUGAAUAUGUGUAACUGAAUCACUUUAGUGCACACCUGAAACUACCACAACAUUGUAAUUCAGUACUACAACAUAAAAUAUAAAUUUUUUUUAAAAGUUACUGAGAGGAAAAGGUACACCGCUCAUAAUGACAGGGCAAGUUAGAAACUGUUCCUCUAUAAUACAAAGCCAGCUGGACAGCAGAGAAAAGUCUUCUACAGCAAAACCCAAGGUGUUUUCACAUUCAAGUGAGCUCAUCACCACUGCAGUGCCAGAUAGAAAGCCACGGUGCUGAGCUGAGCUGAGCUGGGGGGAGGCCAUGCGGAGCCUGGGAGGCAGAAGAUGACUCGGUCAUCGUAACAGUUUCAAUUCUUCCAAACUUAGUUUCUUCAUUUAGCACAAAGUGGCACUUCAAGUGCUACUCCCCAAACAGCCCAUGGCCCUUUCCACUUACAGAAAAGUCAAUGAGAGAAUACCAUGGUGGAUCAGAACUGGUGUCUUAUAUUGAUUAGACCAGAGCCUUGCCAGGAGGGGCCUUCGCUACUCACCCACCAAUGAUCUCUAUGGAUAAAUGAGGACCAAAUCAGGCUUCUAAGCAAGGCCCAAAACUGGGCACAAGCCCAGAGAGACAGGAUAAAAACUAAUGACCUUCAACAUAAUUUUAGAAGCCAAACUAAAAAAAAAAAAAAAAAAAAAAA